UUCAGCUUUUUAUCCCUUUUUGGCGGGGAUCGGCUUANNCGAAUAAAGUUCUAGGUAGAAUAAUGAUUAUGACAAUUUUCUAUCUAAAUGUCUUGACCAAGUCACGUGCCAGCAGUCGCGGUAAUACGUGGAAGACUAGUGUUAUUCAUCUUUAAUAGGUUUAAAGGGUACCUAGACGGUAUUUCUAGCCCCCAAAGGGUACGGAUUUACUAGAGUUUUAUGUGAGAGGCAAAUAUUAGUACUAUUGGUGUAGAGAUGAAAUUCUUUGAUACUAUUAGGACUGGUGGCGGCGAAAGCAACCCUCUAAGUAUAAACUGACGUUGAGGGACGAAGGCUUGGGUAGCGAACAGGAUUAGAUACCCUAGUAGUCCAGGCAGAAAAUUAUGAGUGCCAUAGAUUAGAUUAA
rnacentral:rRNA from 1 species